UUUUUUAUUUCUUACCUCUGAGAUAAUCCACAGUGGCAUUCAGAUUUCAGUACAAGCUAUCAUCUUACUGCUUUACAGAUGGUGUCGCAGCAUAAAGUAGACGCCCUUCAGGAAGAGACCAUUUAUAUGAAUGUUUAGUGGAACAAUUUAUUUGCUGGGUAACAUGAAACACACUUUGGUAAGGAAGUGUAUUAUUUUAUAGACCGCAUGUGAGUUCAUCCUAUCUGUCAAAUAGAUUUUGAAUUUUUUACCAGCUCAUCCAGAUAUCGUUGCUUUUAGAAAUGUGGCCAAACCUGUUUCAUCACAUAACCAACAGCAUUCCUAACAUGCAAGCAAACAUGAAAUGAAAACAAUUUAAAACACUUGUACUGAAAACAGUCGCUCAUUCCGAUAGGUAUCGAGAAGAGACAAUAAGCUGCGGUUGGUCCAUUGAAGGGAUGUGAUAAGAUUUUAGAGUUUAAGGGACAUUGUGAUAUUUGAGGCCCACUUCUUGCUCUGUUGUGCUUUUGUCCUUGUGGGAGGAUCAUUCCACAGGAGGUUGUCUCAGUCAGGACAGCAACAGGAAAUUUUUGAAGAAAGUUGUUCUGGAGGACAAACUGAAAAAGGAAUACCGUGGUAAUCCACCAUGACUUCUUGGACUUGCAGAUCCAAGAACUGAAAAAUAAUCUCCAGACUCAAGAAGAUAUUAACAAAAAACUUGCAGAGAUUAUUCAGAACAUCGCAUCAAAGCAAGUUUCCUGGACUGAAGUCGGGCAACGUAGACUUUUUGACCUCACAACGCAUAUUCCAGAAAAGAAAGCAGAAACAGAAAACCAAAAGGCUAAUUACGACUCCGCCAGACACGUCUCCAAAGCCAAGGAAGCAGACACACUGAAACGGGAUGUUAUAACAGAGCCAGAGGCUACGAUCCUACACAUGCAAGAAGACUCACCUUGCGGAACGACGAUGAAUGGAGAUGCCUUGAUGGCAGGCCAGCCUGCAUUCAUUAACCCCAUCCGGUCACCCGGAGUCAGAGUUGCCCAGUCAACGAAGAAGGACCAUCAAAGAACCACGCGACCACAUCUACUCAAAGAGUGUCCUGUGUGCUUCCUUUUAUUCCCAGAAAAUAUUUAUGCAUUAGAAAUAAAUCGUCACAUCAAUAGACACUUUUCUGAUAUGAACUGAGCGAACAUCCUCAUAAUAAUGUAUGGCAUUCAAGGACAGAUUACCUAUCAUGAUUAUGUGACAAUGUAUCGUUUAAAUGUUUUGAGUUUUUACAAACAGUUUGCAUCGAGGUAGUUUGCUUUGUUGCAAAUCUCCUGCACAGUAAUUAUACAAAAAAUAAAUAAAUAUCCCCCGAUUAAUCGAAAGCGAGCUGUACGAUUUCCAAAAAAAUAUUUACACAUGUCCAUUGUCAAUAGCAACUGCUUUUGGGUCUGCUUUACAUCGUCACGUUCAAGCAUUCGGGCUUUCCCCUGAGCUUGGUUUGGGUGUUGUUGCUCAUGCUUCAUUCAAACUUGCAAGUGCUUUGGUGAGGUCAUCCUCAGUUUUUGCCCCACCUGGCCACCUUGAGCAUAACAAACUGUAUGUCGAGGUGACCAGCACCAGUUCUCACUGAGACCAGGCUGGGUUUCAAAGCCUGUGGGACUUUUGUUAUACCAACGUGAAGCGUAUAUUGCUCUCAUUAAAUGACCUUUUCCCUCAAGCAGUGAAUAAAAGAUUCAACCACUCCAUCUAAGUGUACUCCAGAACUCAAUACAACUGCACACAUGCUGACCAAGGACUUUUUCUGAAGUUUUCUUGUGCAUUGUCUUUACGAUAGAUAGUUACCUCCAGCACCAAAGGUCGAUGGAGGAUAUGUUUUCAGCUUGUUUGUCUAUCUGUCUGUCUAUCUGUAAGCAGGAUAUCUCAAAAAGUU
rnacentral:lncRNA from 1 species